rfam:Canis lupus familiaris chromosome 26, whole genome shotgun sequence.
ACCUGGCUAGCUCAGUCGGUGGAGCUUGUGACUCUUGAUCUCAGGGUCAUGGGUUCAAGCCCCAUGUUGGGUG